UAGUCGGAGGUGUGUCUCGGACGGUCGGUUCGCCGCUUGUCGGUGCUCAACUGGCCGGUCCGGACGUCCUGCCGGUGGGGCUGUAAAAGGCUCCGUUAUCCUUCUUUGGUCCUCUUCAUUGAGUGCCUUGGUGGGCCGGCACGUUUACUUUGAACAAAUUAGAGUGCUCAAAGCAGGCCGUUGGUCGCCUGAAUACUGUGUGCAUGGAAUAAUGGAAUAGGACCUCGGUUCCAUUUUGUUGGUUUUCAGAACUUGAGGUAAUGAUUAAUAGGGACGGACGGGGGCAUUCGUAUUGCGACGUUAGAGGUGAAAUUCUUGGAUCGUCGCAAGACGAACCGAUGCGAAAGCAUUUGCCAAGAACGUUUUCGUUGAUCAAGAACGAAAGUUAGAGGUUCGAAGGCGAUCAGAUACCGCCCUAGUUCUAACCAUAAACGAUGCCAGCUAGCCAUCCGCCGAAGUUCCUUAUAUGACUCGGCGGGCAGCUUCCGGGAAACCAAAGCUCUUGGGUUCCGGGGGAAGUAU
rnacentral:rRNA from 1 species